rnacentral:rRNA from 1 species
UACAGAGGGUGCAAGCGUUAAUCGGAAUUACUGGGCGUAAAGCGCACGUAGGCGGUUUUUUAAGUCAGAUGCGAAAGCCCCGGGCUCAACCUGGGAACUGCAUCCAAAACUGGCAAGCUAGAGUACGGUAGAGGGUGGUGGAAUUUCCUGUGUAGCGGUGAAAUGCGUAGAUAUAGGAAGGAACACCAGUGGCGAAGGCGACCACCUGGACUGAUACUGACACUGAGGUGCGAAAGCGUGGGGAGCAAACAGGAUUAGAUACCCCGGUAGU